CGCGGGGUAGUUCAGAAGGUUAGAAUAGCGGAAUGGUCCGCCAUCGCGGUCAUAAUCCGCAGGUCGCCGGUUCGAGUCCGGCCCCCGCUC
rnacentral:tRNA from 1 species